rnacentral:rRNA from 1 species
GUCCGGAAUCAUUGGGCGUAAAGAGCUCGUAGGCGGCUUGGUAAGUCGGAUGUGAAACCUCCAGGCUCAACCUGGAGUCGCCAUCCGAUACUGCCAUGGCUAGAGUCCGGUAGGGGCCCACGGAACUCCUGGUGUAGCGGUGAAAUGCGCAGAUAUCAGGAAGAACACCGGUGGCGAAGGCGGUGGGCUGGGCCGGCACUGACGCUGAGGAGCGAAAGCGUGGGGAGCGAACAGGAUUAGAUACCCUGGUAGUCCACGCCGUAAACGUUGGGCACUAGGUGUGGGACCUUAUCAACGGGUUCCGUGCCGUAGCUAACGCAUUAAGUGCCCCGCCUGGGGAGUACGGCCGCAAGGCUAAAACUCAAAGGAAUUGACGGGGGCCCGCACAAGCGGCGGAGCAUGCGGCUUAAUUCGAGGCAACGCG